GCGGGUUGCAUCCGUUGUUACGUUGCCCGAAGACAGUAGUAAAUGUGAUUUGCAGGGUGCAAGCAACGUGUCAUUGUGGUUAGAAAAAAUGAAUCAGUAUACAUGUGAUUUAACUGUCAAAGCCGGAAUGUUUAAAGGAUCGACUGUCCAGCGAGGAGAUUGCGGAAUCAGCAACUGACAUAUUGACUGAUGAAACAUGAUGGUGCGUGCAGCAAGAGAGGGUUUGACUGCAGAUCCUGACCACCUGCUCCUGUAAAUUUGUACCAACCACAGGCGAAAACAAGAAGAAACGCUUUGAAUACCUGCGGUCUUCUAUCAGCGA